GUGGACAUCAACAGUAUUAAUCAUAUAUAAAUAUGUAAAAAGUAUAAGAAUAGUACAUGAUGCCUUGUGUGAUAGACUAUAUCAUACUGGACCUUAGUGUAUUCAUGCUUCUUUGUAUCCACAUCCUUUGGUAGUCCUCUCCCACAUUGACUGGGCAUGGCCAUGGGACUUGUUAAAUGGGACCAUAGCAAAAGUGACCUAAAUAAAAGUGAGAAAAAUUCUUACCCCUCAGGAAUUGUUCUUUAUUCCUAGGAAUACUUCUAUGAUUAUGUGAAGAAGCCUGGGCUAGCCUGCUGAAGGAUGAAAGACCAUGUAGAAAGCAGCCUCAGCUAUUCCAGUUGAGUCACCAGACGUGUGAAUGAGAUGAUCCUAUACAUCAGCCUCAAUUUAGUUGCCUUUGCCAGAAUUUCUCAACCAAACCUAAGUAUUAUGAAAAGUUAUUGGUUUGUCUUUUCAUCCACAGCACAGCUCAAAAUGAGCACAGCUUCCCCACAGAGUGAGUGCUAUGAGCAAUGUAGCAGUUCAUCUGCUUCAAGAUCUUCUUCCCACUACCAGCUCUACUGGGAGAAUGUUCAUUACAUCAUCAUAUAUCUGUCUGAAUUGGAAAAAACAUCUCUAAAUCCUACAUUUAAUUUUUUGGUCAAGUUGUGAAGAAUCACUACCCAAUGCAUAGAAUUACUUUAGCCAAACCGAAUUUUCUGUGAGGUUUUAAUAAUUAACAGUAACACUUCACUUCAUCUUUUAUGCUACUAAAGAUGGGGUUCACACGUUCAGAAGAGGGUAUGUGAAGUAGAGACUAAGUUGUGAUUUGGCUGCAAAUAAUAAGGAAAAGUCUCCGGUGAGUUAUUAAGGUUUCUUCCCUUGAAAAAGGUAGUAAUUUACAGAAACUGAUACAUUAUUAUUAAAACACAAUAAAAAUGGUGCACACAGUUAAAAUAUUUGAAGUCAUAUAUCAACCUAAAAUAGCUACUAUCUUUGCUAUCAAUUGGAUAAUAUUUAUAUUACAUAUUAACUGAAGUAAUCAGAAGGAAAUAAAACUGAAAAAAUAAGCCAGAUAGGAAAAAAUUAAUUUGAAAUAUGACAAUAUGUUUAAUAGUAUAAUUAAAAAGACUAACU
ensembl:lincRNA